rnacentral:rRNA from 1 species
CCCUUAGACGUUCUGGGCCGCACGCGCGCUACACUGACCAGUGCAUCAAGCAUCCGUCCUUGGCCGACAGGCCCGGGCAAUCUUUGAACGCUGGUCGUGAUGGGGAUAGACUUUUGCAAUUUUUGGUCUUCAACGAGGAAUUCCUAGUAAACGCAAGUCAUCAACUUGCAUUGAUUACGUCCCUGCCCUUUGUACACACCGCCCGUCGCACCUACCGAUUGAAUGGUCCGGUGAAGCCUCCGGAUUGGCGCGCACCUCGGUGCCGCCGAGAAGUUGGCUAAACCUUACCAUUUAGAGGAAGGUGAAGUCGUAACA